UUACUUUGUUUUCUCUCUGCUCAGCUUUCGUCACUUUUUCUCUGGAGCAUUGUUUGCUCUCUUUCGCGGGGUGAUUCUGACAAAAAUUUGGGGCGAUUUGAUUGAUGAAUGUGUGGAUCUGGAGCGGCUUGUGCAAGAAAUUAAUCGCGGAGCUUCAUUGGUGUGGUUUUGACUCUUUUCAAGGUCAUUGAGGAAAGCUUGGUGGAUCUGUAUGAUAAUGGCUUCUGAGAAAGAGAAAGAGCAAGAUGAUCAACUAACUGCAUCUCUGAGUGAUCUAUUCAGCAGUGUCUCUGACAUGGUCAAAGGCGAGCUCCAGGGAACAAAUAACGUCCUUGAGCUUCUCGAGAAAAUGAAUGUGAGGGUAGCAGAAGAAUACAAAGGCUUCGGUGAUGUUGCAUCGGGGCUAAGAGUUUUUGUGGAGCAAUUAAAGUUGAAAAGCAGCAAUUUCGACGUCUACGUCCAACAGCUCGACACCAUAGAACAGCAAGUCACCGAAUUCGAAGCUAUGAUUUCUAUGCUCGACAAUGCACCUUUGCGCAGUCACUGAGCCAGUUCAUGAUACUCCGAGCAGCUUCAAACAUCUGUCCCAAAGCCGUCAAGAUAUUCUUCAAAUGCCGUAUUUUGUACCAUCAGAAGUGUAAGGAUUGUGAAACAAACACCUAAUGUUUGACAUGAUCUCACUGCCGCAAGUGCCAUAAACAGAUGCAUAUGCACCAAUCAGAUAAGAACGAUAAUUUGUAAUUAUAAGCAUUUUGAUAAAAACCGAUAAGAUGCCUCCACAUGAUGAAUAUAAUUGAUUCGCAUAAAGAUAUAAAGAGUCGGUUUUUCCAUACUUUUGCUGCAUAACAAGCUCCACCAAAGAUCUGUGCAUCAUCCGCAAUUGUGGCACGUUCUUUUAAUCUUUUCUUAAUUUGAUCUCGAGCACCAAUAUAAGUAACACCAUAUACUGAUGUCAUCACAGUCUGUUUGACCAGUUUUCGGUCCACCUGAGCAUUUCAAUGUAGCAAGCAUAUUAUAAGAAACACACAAGAAGAUAGACAAUGGAAGGAAACAAGAAUGGAAGAACAAAUUUCAGGCAUACAAAUAUAAGAUCCCACAAUGACUUCGGAUAAGGGCAUCUGGAAAUAUUGCAGGAUCCUUUUGAGCAUCAUCCUUCAUGAUAGCAUGAACCCUGCAGAAGCAUAAUCAAGAAAGUAACUUGUGAAUUUCCUAAUUCACUCGGAUCACUACAUGAAUGACGAAUGCAAUUCAACUCCCUCACAAGAAAAUUGGUGCAAGCACAUUGGAGGUUCAAAUCACCAUAUAAAAGUGAAUAAAAGAAACAAAGAGGUCCCAUCUCACUAUAUAGCUUUAACGAAUAUCACAUUGGAAUCAAGAAAUUUUCAAUGUUUCCAUGUAUAUGUGUAACACUUUAAAAGCACUUACAAGACCGUCUUGAAGGCCUCACAUUUUAGAAUAUGAAAUAAUACUAUAUAAUCUACUGACAUAAAUAUUGC